GACGAACGCUGGCGGCGUGCUUAACACAUGCAAGUCGAACGGUAAGGCCCUUCGGGGUACACGAGUGGCGAACGGGUGAGUAACACGUGGGUGAUCUGCCCUGCACUUCGGGAUAAGCCUGGGAAACUGGGUCUAAUACCGGAUAGGACUCCUGGCUUCAUGGUUGGGGGUGGAAAGCUUUUGCGGUGUGGGAUGGGCCCGCGGCCUAUCAGCUUGUUGGUGGGGUAAUGGGCUACCAAGGCGACGACGGGUAGCCGGCCUGAGAGGGUGACCGGUCACACUGGGACUGAGAUACGGCCCAGACCCCUACGGGAGGCAGCAGUGGGGAAUAUUGCACAAUGGGCGCAAGCCUGAUGCAGCGACGCCGCGUGAGGGAUGACGGCCUUCGGGUUGUAAACCUCUUUCAGCUAUGACGAAGCGCAAGUGACGGUAGUAGCAGAAGAAGGACCGGCCAACUACGUGCCAGCCGCCGCGGUAA
rnacentral:rRNA from 1 species